rnacentral:rRNA from 1 species
UAAUACAUGCAAGUCGAACGAAACUUCUUUAUCACCGAGUGCUUGCACUCACCGAUAAAGAGUUGAGUGGCGAACGGGUGAGUAACACGUGGGCAACCUGCCCAAAAGAGGGGGAUAACACUUGGAAACAGGUGCUAAUACCGCAUAACCAUAGUUACCGCAUGGUAACUAUGUAAAAGGUGGCUAUGCUACCGCUUUUGGAUGGGCCCGCGGCGCAUUAGCUAGUUGGUGGGGUAAAGGCUUACCAAGGCAAUGAUGCGUAGCCGAACUGAGAGGUUGAUCGGCCACAUUGGGACUGAGACACGGCCCAAACUCCUACGGGAGGCAGCAGUAGGGAAUCUUCCACAAUGGGCGAAAGCCUGAUGGAGCAACGCCGCGUGGGUGAAGAAGGUCUUCGGAUCGUAAAACCCUGUUGUUAGAGAAGAAAGUGCGUGAGAGUAACUGUUCACGUUUCGACGGUAUCUAACCAGAAAGCCACGGCUAACUACGUGCCAGCAGCCGCGGUAAUACGUAGGUGGCAAGCGUUAUCCGGAUUUAUUGGGCGUAAAGGGAACGCAGGCGGUCUUUUAAGUCUGAUGUGAAAGCCUUCGGCUUAACCGGAGUAGUGCAUUGGAAACUGGGAGACUUGAGUGCAGAAGAGGAGAGUGGAACUCCAUGUGUAGCGGUGAAAUGCGUAGAUAUAUGGAAGAACACCAGUGGCGAAAGCGGCUCUCUGGUCUGUAACUGACGCUGAGGUUCGAAAGCGUGGGUAGCAAACAGGAUUAGAUACCCUGGUAGUCCACGCCGUAAACGAUGAAUGCUAAGUGUUGGAGGGUUUCCGCCCUUCAGUGCUGCAGCUAACGCAAUAAGCAUUCCGCCUGGGGAGUACGACCGCAAGGUUGAAACUCAAAGGAAUUGACGGGGGCCCGCACAAGCGGUGGAGCAUGUGGUUUAAUUCGAAGCAACGCGAAGAACCUUACCAGGUCUUGACAUCUUUUGCCAAUCCUAGAGAUAGGACUUUCCCUUCGGGGACAAAAUGACAGGUGGUGCAUGGUUGUCGUCAGCUCGUGUCGUGAGAUGUUGGGUUAAGUCCCGCAACGAGCGCAACCCUUAUUGUUAGUUGCCAGCAUUAAGUUGGGCACUCUAGCAAGACUGCCGGUGACAAACCGGAGGAAGGUGGGGAUGACGUCAAAUCAUCAUGCCCCUUAUGACCUGGGCUACACACGUGCUACAAUGGACGGUACAACGAGUCGCAAGACCGCGAGGUUUAGCAAAUCUCUUAAAGCCGUUCUCAGUUCGGAUUGUAGGCUGCAACUCGCCUACAUGAAGUCGGAAUCGCUAGUAAUCGCGGAUCAGCAUGCGCGGGUGAAAAUACGUUCCCGGGCCUUGUACACACCGCCCGUCACACCAUGAGAGUUUGUAACACCCAAAGCCGGUGGGGUAACCUUUUGGAGCCAGCCGUC